AAGGAUUUAAGUUAAAAAAACUAACAGCCUUCAAAGCUGUAAAUAGAAAUAGGUCUUUCUAAGCCUUGCC
rnacentral:tRNA from 1 species